rnacentral:ribozyme from 13 species
AAUUGGACGGGUGGCAUGAAAAAAAAAAAAAAAAAAAAAAAAAAAAAAAAAAAAAAAAAAG